CCAAUUCAUUUGAUCCCACCUCAAAAUCAUAAAAAAUGAAUGAGUUAUGUUCUUGGGAAGUUGACCUAAAAUUAGGGUUUCAGUCAAAAUGACCUAUAAUGUCUUGGAAUGGAUGAUGACCUUCCAAGACACCUCAAAAUCAUAAAAAAUGAAUGAGUUAUGUUCUUGGGAAGUUGACCUAAAAUUAGGGUUUCAGUCAAAAUGACCUAUAAUGUCUUGGAAUGGAUGAUGACCUUC
rnacentral:lncRNA from 1 species